AAACUCAAAGGAAUUGACGGGGACCCGCACAAGCGGUGGAUGAUGUGGUUUAAUUCGAUGCAACGCGAAAAACCUUACCCACCUUUGACAUGUACGGAACCUUUUAGAGAUAGAGGGGUGCUCGAAAGAGAACCGUAACACAGGUGCUGCAUGGCUGUCGUCAGCUCGUGUCGUGAGAUGUUGGGUUAAGUCCCGCAACGAGCGCAACCCUUGCCAUUAGUUGCUACGAAAGGGCACUCUAAUGGGACUGCCGGUGACAAACCGGAGGAAGGUGGGGAUGACGUCAAGUCCUCAUGGCCCUUAUAGGUGGGGCUACACACGUCAUACAAUGGCCGGUACAAAGGGCAGCCAACCCGCGAGGGGGAGCCAAUCCCAUAAAGCCGGUCGUAGUCCGGAUCGCAGUCUGCAACUCGACUGCGUGAAGUCGGAAUCGCUAGUAAUCGUGGAUCAGCAUGUCACGGUGAAUACGUUCCCGGGUCUUGUACACACCGCCCGUCACACCAUGGGAGCGGGUUCUGCCAGAAGUAGGUAGCCUAACCGUAAGGAGGGCGCUUACCACGGCAGGGUUCGUGACUGGGGUGAAGUCGUAACAAGGUAGCCGUAUCGGAAGGUGCGGCUGGAUCACCUCCUUUAUG
rnacentral:rRNA from 1 species